UACGACUACAUAUCAGGCAUAUCAAUAAGCGGAGGAAAAGAAACUAACAAGGAUUCCCUUAGUAACGGCGAGUGAAGCGGGAAGAGCUCAAAUUUGAAAUCUUCAAGGUUUUACCUUGACGAAUUGUAGUUUAAAGAAGUGUUUUCUGUUGAAGUUUUGGUAAAAGUUCUUUGGAAUAGGACAUCAUAGAGGGUGAGAAUCCCGUAUUUGACCAUUAUUUUCAGCUGUGUGAUACACUUUCAAAGAGUCGGAUUGUUUGGGAAUGCAGUCCAAAAUGGGUGGUAAAUUUCAUCUAAAGCUAAAUAUUGGCGAGAGACCGAUAGCGAACAAGUACCGUGAGGGAAAGAUGAAAAGAACUUUGAAAAGAGAGUUAAACAGUACGUGAAAUUGUCAAAAGGGAAGCGUUUGACACCAGUGUUGUUUUCUCGAAAAUCAAUUAAAAAUAGUUGGAUUUUGUGUUGUAUUGACCUUAACAGCUUGCUUCACUCUUUUCCAGCUUUUUUUAAUGCACUUUUCGUUUAACAAGUCAACAUCAGUUUCUUUUGUUGUAAAAGGGUCAUUGGAAGGUGGCUUUCUCUUCGGAGAAAGUGUUUAUAGCCUUUGAUCUCUGCAAUCGGAGAGACUGAGGUCUGCAGCGUAGAUCCUUCGGGGUUAGAUACAUUUGUGCUAAGCUACAGCUUUUCAUAGACAACUUGUUGACUAUGUUUAGUCUUGUGACUUACCCGCUUAUGCUAUUUUACCUACGCUUAGGAUGUUGAGCGCAUGUCUCUCUCU
rnacentral:rRNA from 1 species